rnacentral:rRNA from 1 species
UACGGAGGGGGGCUAGCGUUGUUCGGAAUUACUGGGCGUAAAGCGCGCGUAGGCGGACCUGCAAGUCGGGGGGUGAAAGCCCCGAGGCUCAACCUCGGAACUGCCUUCGAUACUGCGGGUCUCGAGUCCGGGAGAGGUGAGUGGAAUUCCUAGUGUAGAGGUGAAAUUCGUAGAUAUUAGGAAGAACACCAGUGGCGAAGGCGGCUCACUGGCCCGGUACUGACGCUGAGGCGCGAAAGCGUGGGGAGCAAACAGG